rnacentral:lncRNA from 1 species
AUUUCGGUGAGCACAACCCACCUCGAUUCGCGUUCCGAUUCCUUAUAGUCACUUGCAAUCGGCCUCCUGCAGCACACGCCGCCUGCCUCGGCCCGAUCUCACACUCGACCACCAAACGACCACCAAUCCAUAAUCUGGAAAUUUAAGGUCUAUAACUUGAUGCCACGAUGCUCUGGAUCCGUUCUCGUGAUUUUUGGACGUCGCCUCGGUCCUCUAAGUGGAAACGAAGCCGAAAUGUUCGUUUCUUCAAUAUCUUCGCAUAGGCUCGACGAAUCGCCGAACCGACUUCGCCAACGCGUUCAUAUACCUAGCAAUUAGGUUUGCAUGGGUUCAAUUUAGAUCAAACCCCACAAAAUAGCAAAACCUCCUUUUGAGCCCUAACAUGUUACUAUUGCAAGAAACCCAAUAACACUUCUUGAUUCAAGCAAAUAGCAUGUUAAUAUCACCUAGGGAGUCCUAUAAACUCAUUCCUAGAGGACACAAAGCAAACUCUAGCAAUCCACCAUUAGAGCUCUACAAGCCUACCUCUCUUGAACUAAGGAAGAAGGAGUAGAAGCUUUAUCUUCAAUCUCUAAUCUCCACCACCUUCUCCACCAAGCUUGCUCCAAUUUUCUCCUCCAAUCCUCUCUUUGGUAGAGAGAGAGACCUCAGAGACAGAGAGAGAAAGUGUGCGUGUGGGUGUGCGCAUGCAUCCAAGACCCGCACACAUAUGGUGCUGCAACAAUUGCACAAAACCCCUACACAACACUACUACAACUUUCAGUUUAGCAGCUCGAAAUCUGAUACCUUUCGCCGGAGCCCUUCUGAAUGUCCAUUUUCUCUCAAAUUUCACAGUUAGACUCGGUUUUAGCUAAAUAAAUAAAGUAUUUCAUAAUCUUUCAGUUUCGACAAUGUUUGGUCACCGAAAGCCCUACUGAACUGUAAUCUCUAGCAGAUAGCAGUCGAAUUUUAUUUUCCACCUUCCGGGUGACGGAUUAACAUGAAACUUUAAAUCUAGCCUCACAAAAAUAAUUCUGACAUAUUCUCCAGUUAUCAUAAUUUUCUGACACUGUAGAUUUUCUGCUAAAAUAUCAGUCCUGUUUCUCACAGAAAAUUCUAAAUCUUCUGUUUUCGUUCCGAUUUUAGCACGAGUCGUUUUCGACUUAUAUUUUACUUCUCUAAAUCUAAUAAAAAUAGUAUCUCACACUAUUUAUGUUUAUAUUUAUAUUUAUAUUAAAAAUCUGAUAUAUUACACUCCACCGUAAUUUCAUAACUUCAGAAGUUCGGCACCUUACACAUACACCGUAACUUCAUAACUUUAUAAGUUCGGUAUGUUACACUUUUCCAUCCUUAAAAAGAGUUUCGUCCUCAAAACUCAAACCACUUUAAACUCAACUCAUACCUCAACUCGGUUUAUUGAGUAAUCGAGGAUUCCAAUGCACUUUCACACUCCGGAGUGCCCUUCACUCAUCGGAUCUGUCCCAAAGGCCCACUACGAAGGAUGUGAGACCAUAUUCACUCACAUUUGCUAAGUGUAACUCUAAAAGUGCAUUACCACCAUGCAAAGAACCACUCUUUGCAUUGCACACCCAAUCGGGAAAUACACUCCGAUUCGAUCACCGCAUUGCUCAGAAGCAAUUUAUAGGUGCAUCGCCCAAUCGCAAGUGCUCCAAUCCCAACUAGAUCCUUACUCUACCGUGAGAUGGCUCACUCCGGCACAUCUCGAAUCUCAAUCCUCGAAUGAGCAUUAUCCUCAAGCUCCAUUUUACUUGAGAGCAUCAACUCCAAUCCUCACGUGGCUUCUGUUAGCUCAAUGUCUUAUAAGAGCACUUCAUCCUUCGCUAUCACAAGCCACGACCAAUUCGACUUCGUUGUCACAAUGAGCUCACACGAACACUCCGUUCAUGAAUCUAAGCCAAACUCAUCACUAAGGCUAUCCGCUCAAUCACUUUCCUCAAAUGUAACGCACUGGACCUUGCAAAUUGCUGGGUUCGAGUGAUUGAUUGUGUUCUGAGCUUUUCCAGACUUUCUGGUGGGUUGUUGACAGUGUUCCGACCUAUGGUUCGAGUCCCGAGAAUUGUGGUUUAAAACCUUGUGUCAAAAUCCAAAAAGUAGGAUUUUUGGCUAGCUCUCGGGUAGCCUUCAGAGGGCAGUGUACCGGUACGGGCUUGAUGGCUGUACCGGUACGCGGUGAUGGUUGUACCGGUACGAGGGCCCGUGUACCGGUACACAGGCUAUUUCCCAGCAAACCCGAGGCUCGGGUUGGCUUUUCGUGGGUGGUGUACCGGUACACAAACCCGUGUACCGGUACACAGUGCAGUCUGGGCAUUGUUCGGGCAGUGGGGUGUUUGCAAUUAUUACAACACCUAUAUUACUACCCCCAGCCCCCUUGUGAGCUCUUUUGAGCCCUAGACCAGUGGAGAACAGGUGAGAACUCCUCCCCUUUGGAUUCUUCUCCAUUUUUGAUGGUUUUCUUUGUGGGUUUUGAUCUCUUUCUCCUUCUCCUUCUUACUUUUGUGGGUUUUCCACCAUUGGAGAAGCUUGGGACCUUGAUUGGAGCUUGUUUGAGGAUCAACCUUCAACCCUAGAGGACUUUGGAGCUUGAUUUGAAACUUCUAAGAGGUUAGUAACUAGAUCCUUUCCUUUAGAUCUAGUUUGUGGUGAUUCUUUUGAUAGAAAUCCUAGAUUUUGAAAAUUAGGGUUAGAUUUGGGGAUUUUCGUUUUGAGGGCUUUGGAACCCAAUUGAUGGGUUUAGAACCUUUGUUUAGGUU